rnacentral:rRNA from 1 species
CAAUAGCGUAUAUUAAAGUUGUUGCAGUUAAAAAGCUCGUAGUCGGAUUUCGGGUCGGGCCGAGCGGUCUGCCGAUGGGUAUGCACUGUUUGGCGCGGCCUUCUUUCCGGAGACCGCGGCUACUCUUAACUGAGCGGGCGUGGGAGACGGAUCGUUUACUUUGAAAAAAUCAGAGUGUUUCUAGCAGGCAGCUCGCUCUUGCAUAGGUUAGCAUGGGAUAAUUUAAUAGGACUUCCGGUUCUAUUUUGUUGGUUUUUGGAGCCGAAGUAAUGAUUAAUAGGGAUAGUUGGGGGCACUCGUACUCCGUUGUCAGAGGUGAAAUUCUUGGAUUGACGGAAGACGAACAACUGCGAAAGCAUCUGCCAAGGAUGUUUUCAUUGAUCAAGAACGAAAGUUAGGGGAUCGAAGACGAUCAGAUACCAU